AUUGAACGCUGGCGGCAUGCUUUACACAUGCAAGUCGAACGGUAACAGGGAGCUUGCUCCGCUGACGAGUGGCGAACGGGUGAGUAAUGCGUCGGAACGUGCCGAGUAGUGGGGGAUAACGCAGCGAAAGUUGUGCUAAUACCGCAUACGUACUGAGGUAGAAAGUGGGGGACCUUCGGGCCUCACGCUAUUCGAGCGGCCGACGUCUGAUUAGCUAGUAGGUGAGGUAAAGGCUCACCUAGGCGACGAUCAGUAGCGGGUCUGAGAGGAUGAUCCGCCACACUGGGACUGAGACACGGCCCAGACUCCUACGGGAGGCAGCAGUGGGGAAUUUUGGACAAUGGGCGAAAGCCUGAUCCAGCCAUGCCGCGUGUCUGAAGAAGGCCUUCGGGUUGUAAAGGACUUUUGUCGGGGAGGAAAUCCCCAGCGCUAAUACCGCUGGGGGAUGACAGUACCUGAAGAAUAAGCACCGGCUAACUACGUGCCAGCAGCCGCCGCCGUAA
rnacentral:rRNA from 1 species